rnacentral:rRNA from 1 species
UACGGGGGGGGCAAGCGUUGUUCGGAAUUACUGGGCGUAAAGGGCUCGUAGGCGGCCAACUAAGUCGGAUGUGAAAUCCCCGGGCUCAACCCGGGAACUGCGUCCGAUACUGGCAGGCUUGAAUCCGGGAGAGGGAUGCGGGAUUCCAGGUGUAGCGGUGAAAUGCGUAGAUAUCUGGAGGAACACCGGUGGCGAAGGCGGCAUCCUGGACCGGCAUUGACGCUGAGGCGCGAAAGCCAGGGGAGCAAACGGG